UACGAGGGGUGCAAGCGUUGCUCGGAAUUAUUGGGCGUAAAGGGUAGGUAGGUGGUCUCAUUUGUCUGGGGUGAAAGCCUUGAGCUUAACUCAAGAAGUGCCCCGGAAAUGGUGAGACUGGAGUCCUGGAGAGGGUCGUGGAAUUCCCGGUGUAGCGGUGAAAUGCGUAGAGAUCCGGAGGAACACCAAAGGCGAAGGCAGUGUCCUGGGGAGUACCUGACGCUCAGGUGCGAAAGCCAGGGGAGCGAACGGG
rnacentral:rRNA from 1 species